CUGCCUCGUCGAUGGACCACAAGCAUCCACGUUCUACAAGGCCGGAGUAGAGGAGGUCUCGGCCUUACCAUCAGUAUCCCACGUGAACUCGAGAAUGAUAGCAAGUUUGCGUGGGAUUCUGAUGGUGAGGCCGAGACCUCCUCUGCUCCGGCCUUGAGGAACGUGGAUGCUACACACCUGUCGACGAGGCCG
rnacentral:pre_miRNA from 1 species